rnacentral:rRNA from 1 species
UGGGGAAUAUUGGACAAUGGGCGAAAGCCUGAUCCAGCAAUGCCGCGUGUGUGAAGAAGGCCCUCGGGUUGUAAAGCACUUUCAGUGGGGAAGAAAAGCAGAGGGCCAAUACCUUUCUGUGCUGACGUUACCCACAGAAGAAGCACCGGCUAACUCCGUGCCAGCAGCCGCGGUAAUACGGAGGGUGCGAGCGUUAAUCAGAAUUACUGGGCGUAAAGGGCGAGUAGGUGGUUCGGUCAGUCGGAUGUGAAAUCCCCGGGCUCAACUUGGGAAUUGCAUUCGAUACUGCCGAGCUUGAGUGUGGUAGAGGGAAGCGGAAUUCCGGGUGUAGCGGUGAAAUGCGUAGAUAUCCGGAGGAACACCAGUGGCGAAGGCGGUUUCCUGGACCAACACUGACACUGAGUCGCGAAAGCGUGGGGAGCAAACAGGAUUAGAUACCCCCGUAGUCC